CGGGACGGGGCCCCCACGGGAACGGGGUCCCACGGAACUUUUUGACAUCCCUAGUUUUAAACUUCAUUCUCCAUACAAAAUAACUAAAAAAUAAUAAUAAAUUCAUUUUGAAAUUCUAUUUUGACACUCUUUUACAUGUUCUGUUUUAACACUAAUUUACAUAGAUUCUCUGAUAUUUUACAAAACUACCCCUUCCAAGUUACAACGACCGCUCAUUACAUGCAUUCACUCUAGGAAGCUUAUCUGCUUAUGACCAUUUACAUAUGACAUGCCUAAAAAUAUCUCCAUCAUCAGAGUUUUCCGUCUAUCACAAGAACUUAUGAUUUCAAAUAUCAAAGAUUCAAAGCCACAACAACAUGAUCUAAGUUUUCUGCAAUAAUCAAAGAAUUCAAUCACUAUAAUCCGAUGUUUGCCCGUUUCAAGUAAAACAUAGAUUUUCUUACUAAUGUUUAAACAAACCUUUUGAAAUAUUCCCUUGAAUUACAAAAAGAAUGUUUAAAGAAAGACUAUAAUUACAUUCAACACAUCAUUAUCAUAAAAUGAAAAGCACCUGAACCAUCUUUGUUGUAGGAGUAACACAUAACUAAAACUGGAAAACAGUAAAUAUAGACCGGUAAAAUUGGAAAAUAUAGUAAAAAUAUCUAAAACUGGAAAAAUGGUAAAAACAUGUGAAAUUGGAAAAUCUGAAAGUAGGUUGUUAUUUUAACAUAUUUUCUAACUUCGAAAAUAUAUCAAAAUAGCAUACUACUUUGAAAACUCUGAAUAUAGAAAUUUUUUUUUCAUUUUUGUCAUUUAUUUUCAAAAUUUUAGAAAAGUGGCAAUCUGGUCAUUUUUUCCGGAUUCACAUACCUAUGACAAUGUUGUAAUGAAAAUAAAUAAAAAUUAGAUGCCACAGUUCAAUGAAAUGUCAUGCAUUCAGCGUUAAUCUUUUAAUCCAUGCUUUUAUUGUCAUCCAUAAAUUAAAAUUCUAAGAAAAAAAUGAAAAUAAAAUAAAAGCAUUGUACUAUUUAAAUACAAUGGUAUAAUUUCUCUUUAAAAAAAAUACAAUGGUAUAAUAAAAAAAUAUUUAAAAAAUUAAAAAAUUUCCUUAAAUGGUUAAGUUGAAAAAGGAACAAUUGUAUGCUUUUGUACCUACAAUUCCAAAAUAAAAAUGACCAAAAUACAAAUUUAUUUAUGUUUUAUCUGAUUGAAAUGAAAAGGAAAUGACUAAAACAGUCUUUUUGACCAAAAUGACAAAAAUUGACUUGAAUGGUAAAAAUGAUCAAAUUUGUCCAAAUACAUUAUUAUGUAUGGUGAAGGUGAGUUUAAAAUGAUAAGAAUAGAAACCACAUAUGUUUUACCUAAUUGAAAUAAGCAAAAUGACCAAAAUGACAAUUUUAACAAAAAUAGAAUUAGCAUGUCAAAGUAACCAAAAUGGUCUAAAUGCGUUCUUUUGUAUAUGUAAUUGAGGUUUAAAAUGACCAAAGCACAAAUUUUCUUAUGGUUAACUUGAUUGAAAUGACCGAAAUGGUUUAAUUGGUAUACUUGACAAAAAUAAACUUGAGCAGUUAAAAUGAGCAUAACAAUCGACAUGUGUUGUGUUAGUAUAAUGUAAAGUUUAAAAUGACCAAAAUACUAAUUUAAACUUUUUGACUAAUUGAAAUGAGCAAAAUGAGGGUUUUAAAGAAAAUGACAAAAAUAACAAAAAUAGUCUUAUAUGUUCAACUUGACUUAAGGACCAACUGUAUUCUUUUUUGCCUGCAUUUCCAGAUUAAAAAUGAACAAAAUACUAACUUUUUUAUAUUAUCUGAUUGAAAUUAAAAAAAAAAUGACCAAAAUGACAAAAAAAAAAUAUACUUAAAUGGUCAAAAUUGAUCAAAACAGUUAGUAGGUUGUUAUUUUAACAGAUUUUCUAACUUCGAAAAUAUAUCAAAAUAGCAUACUACUUUGAAAACUCUAAAAAUAGCAUUUUUCAUUUUGGUCACUUAUUUUAAAAAAGAUAAAAAAAAGUGGCAAUUUGGUCAUUUUUUCCAGAUUACAAAAAAAGUGGCAGUUAGAUUUACUUUAGAUAACAUAAAUGUGGCAUUUUGGUUAUUUUUUCCAGAAAACAUAUAAGUGGUAAUUUGGUGAUUUUCUAAAGAAUAGAAAAGUGGCAAUUUGGAUAAUUUGGUGAUUUUCCACGGACGAUUUUUUAGAUUUUGAUAGCCAUUUUGGUCAUUUUAUCAGAAAAUCAGUAAACGAAAAAUAGAGUCACAAAAAACUAAUUUUAAAAGUCCAAAUCAAGUGAAAUAUAUAAUGCUUCAAAAAAUUUGAAAUAUAUAAUGCACCAAAAAUCUGUAAUCUGAAAUUGUAAGAAACCAAAAGAUUAAUGAGAAUUACAAAGCUAAAAAUACCAUUUUCUAUGGGUUUUUGAUAUUUAUCUCAAGCACACAUAUUUGGAUGCAACACAUCUAAUUGAUGUAACUGAGGAUUAAAAGAGAUGGCAGGACCAUACCUUAUCCAAUAUUGUUUCGCUGGUAAGGUGAACAUGGAUCAGAACGUGUCUGCCUUCACAUCAAUCAACAGACUACGGGACCAAACCUAGAAAUAUGCAUAAUUGCAGAUAGAAAAUUAAGAAAAAAAAGCAUAAAAUUGAACAUUGUCUCAGUUGUAGACAGAAAAACCUAAAUCUGCCAAGUUUUCUCUAGACCACACCCAUAAUCGAAACCCAUAACAAAAAAAAACUUGAUUAUCAUAUUUACACAUGCAGCUAAACAAAAACAAAAUCGAAAGAAUUUCAUCACAAUGAUAAUGGGAUUAUGGGGAACGGAUGAAACAAUGACAGGAAAAAGGAACGGAUGAAAGUUAGGGCUACAGAAUCUGGAAAUGCAUGUAAGUAAUUACCUGAUUAGAUUAAAUAAAAAACCGAGAUCGAUAGAAGAUGAAUAAGAAACCAAUAAAAUUGGAUGAGAGCAUACAAUAUCAGGGAGUGAAAACAGACAGAAUCGGAAGACCAACCAAAUCGGACACAACUUUCUCUCUUUUAACCUAGAAUGUUAUCACAUAAAAUAUACAACAUAAUAUUUAGAAAAACAGAAAUAACAUCACUCUCAAUGUAUGAUAAUUUUAAUACAUGAAGCCACAAAUAAGCACACCUUACCAUGUUCAUCUAUACUAUUAAACGAAACCCAAUGGAGUGAAGAGCAGCAUUCCUGUGAAAAAUUCCAACAUCCAAAGUGGUUUCCAACUCAGAAAGACGUGAUAAAACCUACAAUAGGAUAAGUUCAGAAAAUAGUUUUGAACUUCACUUUGCCCUUUAAAGAACAUAAAAAUGAAAUUGUAAUUGAUAAAGAAAUUAGGGUUUUGAAAAUCUUAUCUACAUAAAGAACUCAAUCUCCUAAUCGAGCUUCAACAUAUUUCAUCUGCAUCUGAAGUAGAACACACAGGAUCGAAAAUCGUUGAUGGUCGACGCGGUGCCCCUCAAGAAUUCCUGGGGUUACGCAUAUGAUCGAUUCCAUAUCAGCAGAAGUAGAACGCAUAGGAUCGAUUCCAUGUAUACAUGAAAUCAAUGGGGUUACGCAUAUCGAAGGGGUUAGGGUUCAUAUCUAUUGAGUUUCAUGGGGAGCUGAUUGUGUAGAGAGAAAACAUAAGAAUGAAAUUAGGAAUGAAUCGUAAGAAGGAAGUUUUAUUGGGGGCGCGUGUAUUUUUUUGGAUGAUGUCAGCAAAAUGAUC
rnacentral:lncRNA from 1 species